rnacentral:antisense_RNA from 1 species
CUUCACGGAGCCGAGCCACAGCGGGCGGUCCCGGCGAUGUCCGUAGGUGGCGAUCAGCGCCUCGGCCUC